UGGCUCAGGAUGAACGCUGGCGGCGUGCCUAAUACAUGCAAGUCGAGCGAGAACUCAGAAGUGCGAUUAUCAAGACAGAAGAAGGGAAAGCGGCGGACGGGUGAGUAACGCGUAGGCAACCUGCCCCUGGCAGAGGGAUAGCCAUUGGAAACGAUGAUUAAAACCUCAUAACGCCGGAAGCACACAUGUGCUACCGGCCAAAGAUUUAUCGGCUGGGGAUGGGCCUGCGUCUGAUUAACUGGUUGGUGAGGUAACGGCUCACCAAGGUAACGAUCAGUAGCCGACCCGAGAGGGUGAUCGGCCACAUUGGAACUGAGACACGGUCCAAACUUCUACGGAAGGCAGCAGUAAGGAAUCUUGCACAAUGGGGGAAACCCUGAUGCAGCAACGCCGCGUGAACGAUGAAGGCCUUCGGGUUGUAAAGUUCUGAUCUUGGGGAAGAAGGAAGUGACGGUACCCAAGGAGAAAGCCCCGGCUAAAUACGUGCCAGCCGCCGC
rnacentral:rRNA from 1 species